rnacentral:tRNA from 1 species
UUCCUGGUGGUCCAGUAGUUAGGACUCUACACUUUCAAUUCUGGGGUCUGGGUUUAAUCCCUGGUCAGGGAA